ACAUGACAAGAUGAAGAACUUUUUGCAAGAAUCUGCAGAUUUUCAUAACUGCCUUCUGCAUAGGCAAGAGCUCACUCUUCGAGAAUACGGGGCAUGGUGCGAGCACAAAUCGUCCGUGGCACGAAAAGUCGCUGUUUGCUUCCGAUACCUCAUUG
rnacentral:lncRNA from 1 species